GGCAUGGACAAAACCAUAUCUUCCAGAUAGGCAUCAUUUUUGUCAAAUUAUAGAUCCUCGUCUUGGAGGCCACUUCUCAAAGAAAGGAUCAUUUAGGUCCACUGAGAUUGCUGCUCUCUAAGGCAGCAUGCAACAAUCUCAAUGGACCUAAGUACUCCUUCCUUUGAGUAGUGACCUCCAAGACAAGGAUCAAAAUGACGCCUAUCAGUAAGAUAUGGUUUUGCCCAUACCACUAAGUUAUGUUCAACCCUUGGUCUUCUCUUGUCCAUGGCACUUCAGCCAUUCAAUAUAGGAAAACCACCCCAAAGCUAUAUACAUCACUUAUCAUUGAAAGAUCUCCUGCAAGAGUAUAAUAUUUGACAUACAAAAGGUAUACAUGUUAAGGAUAGGACAUUUGAUGGUAUACAUUUUUUCCCAAAACUCCUUCAUAAACCAUAAAUUUGCAUGAGUGCUAGGGUAAUUACAAAGUACAGAUUGAUCAUUACCCAACACUCCUAGCCUCAAACCAAAAUCUGCUCCUACACAAGAAAGUUGCUCUACCUUUUCCCAUUUCUCAUCAGCCAUAUCAACAGAAAUGAUGUUCCAAGUCCCCGAACCAUUAUUCCCAUUAAGACCAUAAGUAGUAGCCCAAUGAAGCUUCCCUAUAACCUUAUAAUUGUCAUGAAACUCAUCAGAUCCAAAACAAUAUAUGAAGCGGUUGGUAUUCUUCAACCUAGGUCUAGAAUCAGGAAAUGUUUUGCACUUUCAAAUUGUCGGGUUCCAUAAAAGUAAUUUUUAUGCCCCGUCAAAUCAAUCAAUCCACUGACAGAUCCCAUAAACCAUGAAGAUUUUGUAUGGUGUGGUUAAGUUUAAUGACGAAAAAUUUGCUAUCGAUCUUCAAUAUUGGAGAUGGUGAAGAGAGAGAGCUGAGAGAUGAGGGGGGAACUAUGAUGAGAGGAUAGAAUGGAAAAUUUAGGUUUUUUUUGUUUUUACUUCGCAAUGGAACUUGAAAUAGAUUCACACUUCAUCUCGCUCUUCUCACAUUGAUUUUCCUAAUUAAUUGUCUGAAGUAUCAUUAAUUUAGUAUUUUUCACAAGUUCACAAACAAUUUUGAUAAUAAUUAGACAUGUGACAAUGGUGGAAUAAAAUGAAUAUAGAUGCCCAGACCUUGUUUCAACCACUACACUGAAUUUGAUACAAUUUCAGUUCUUCACCCAUGAUCACAUCCUCUUCUUCCUUCACCUCCACUAGAAAUAACUAUUUCUUGCCCAUAGACAUAUUUUUCAUCACAAAGGAAACAUAGCCCCCUAGCUCUUUCUCAUCCAUCUCAGCAGCAAUUAACAAUUUCCUCCCAUUGUUGUUGUUAUUGUUCUGAAAUCUAAUGAUGUUGUUACCAUAUGGUUCAAAAGGUUUCUUGAUAGAAUUGGGAACUGGUAAUGUUUUCUUGAACUUUUGGUAUUUAGGAAUAUUAUGAGUUGGUAAAAUGAGAUUCUGGUUUUUACCAGAAGAUUUGAUUUCCCAUGCUAGAGCUUGUGUGUAACACCCCGAAUUUUUUCCCGCUAAGACUCGAACCAUUCUUUAUGUGUGUGUAGGAUCGAACUCGGUGACUUCGAGUUAUGUAUAUGAGUUAGGAUCAAUUCCUAAGUAUUUGAAGUAUAUUAUAUGUGGUUUAGGGUCAUAAGGGAUCUCUAACACCAAGUAGAUUCUAAAGAAUUUCUAUCGGCUAAGUUUUCCGAUGAGUCCGUAUAAGGGUCAACUUCAAAUGACCAUGUAUACCUAAUUGGAUGGCCCAUCACUUAUCAAAUUAAAGGUAUUUAAGUCUUCUUUCCAAUGCCAUCAAUUUUGCCUCAUUUGGAAUUUGGAGUAAAAAGUUAUGACCAUUUUACUGGAGACGCUCUAUCCUGGCAGAAGUCCGCGAUGGAUCCGCGAUGCGGAGAGGACACGGACUCCACUGCCUAAGACGAACGACGCCCCCUUUAAUUUUUAAGGGUAUUUUUGUCCUAUAACCCUUUGAGGAGUUAUUCUAAUAUCCCUAAACUUGUAGAAAACAAUUUUCUUCAUUAAAAACCCUUCUCAUUCACUUCUAAACAUCAACGCUCAAGAAUUUUCAAGAAAGCAUCAAGUUAGGGUUCUUUUUCAAGAUUCUUCAACAAGGGUUUUCAAGAAAACAAAUCCAAGAAUUUCAAGAAAGGGUCUCUUGAUUGUUCUUCUUCAAGUUAAGAUUUUUCAUCAAGACUAUGGAUCUUUUAAGGUCACAACGCUCCUAUUCACACCCACGGUUAGUAUCAGAUCUUAUCGGCGUUGCACUGCUUUAGUAAGCCCUCAUGGUUCGAGGGCGCAUCCAUCUAUGAGCUCUUUUAUGUCAUUCUUUUCAGACUUCGUUCAGUUUCAGACUACUUUGUGAGCUAGGGUUUGUCCUAUGCCAGAUCUAUGUUAGUAAAUGCUAUGUCGUACUUAGUACAUAUUUCUGCAUUUUCAGA